GACAGAGGUGCCGAGCGUUAGGCGGAAUCACUGGGCUUAAAGCGUGUGUAGGUGGAUGCCUAAGUACCUUGUGAAAUCCCACGGCUUAACCGUGGAACUGCUUGGUAUACUGGGUGUCUUGAGCCAGCUAGGGGCUACCGGAACAAGUGGUGGAGCGGUGAAAUGCGUAGAUAUCACUUGGAACGCCAAAGGUGAAGACAGUCUGCUGGGGACUUGCUGACGCUGAGACACGAAAGCCAGGGGAGCGAACGGG
rnacentral:rRNA from 1 species